rnacentral:rRNA from 1 species
UACGUAGGGUGCAAGCGUUAAUCGGAAUUACUGGGCGUAAAGCGUGCGCAGGCGGUCUUGUAAGCCAGUUGUGAAAUCCCCGGGCUUAACCUGGGAACUGCAUCUGUGACUGCAAGGCUGGAGUGCGGCAGAGGGGGAUGGAAUUCCGCGUGUAGCAGUGAAAUGCGUAGAUAUGCGGAGGAACACCGAUGGCGAAGGCAAUCCCCUGGGCCUGCACUGACGCUCAUGCACGAAAGCGUGGGGAGCAAACAGG